rnacentral:tRNA from 1 species
ACCUGGCUGGCUCAGUCAGUAGAGCACGUGACUCUUGAUCUCAAGAUCACGAGUUCAAGCCCCAUGUUAAGUG